GACGAACGCUGGCGGCGUGCCUAACACAUGCAAGUCGAACGGAGUUAGAACUUCGGUUUUAACUUAGUGGCGAACGGAUGAGUAACGCGUGAGAAACCUACCUUUCAGUGGGGGACAACAGUUGGAAACGACUGCUAAUACCGCAUAAUGUAGCGACGGGGCAUCCCGAUGCUACCAAAGAUUUAUUGCUGAAAGAUGGUCUCGCGUCUGAUUAGCUAGUUGGUGAGGUAACGGCUCACCAAGGCGACGAUCAGUAGCCGGUCUGAGAGGAUGAACGGCCACAUUGGGACUGAGAUACGGCCCAGACUCCUACGGGAGGCAGCAGUGAGGAAUAUUGGUCAAUGGGCGAAAGCCUGACCCAGCAAUGCCGCGUGAAGGAAGAAGGCCUUC
rnacentral:rRNA from 1 species